CAUGCCGCGUGAGUGAAGAAGGCCUUCGGGUUGUAAAACUCUGUCCUCAUCCAAGAGAAAGANNUGUAGUAACUGGCCUNUCCAGGACGGUAGAUGAGGAGGAAGCCCCGGCUAACUAUGUGCCAGCAGCCGCGGUAAAACAUAGGGGGCAAGCGUUGUCCGGAAUCACUGGGCGUAAAGGGCGCGCAGGCGGUCUGUUAAGUCAGAUGUGAAAGGUUAGGGCUCAACCCUGAACGUGCAUCUGAUACUGGCAGACUUGAGUAUGGAAGAGGUAAGUGGAAUUCCUAGUGUAGCGGUGAAAUGCGUAGAUAUUAGGAGGAACACCAGUGGCGAAGGCGACUUACUGGGCCAUAACUGACGCUGAGGCGCGAAAGCGUGGGGAGCAAACAGGAUUAGAUACCCUGGUAGUCCACGCCGUAAACGAUGGGUACUAGGUGUCGGAGGUUUCAAGACCGUCGGUGCCGCAGUUAACACAAUAAGUACCCCGCCUGGGGAGUACGGUCGCAAGACUGAAACUCAAAGGAAUUGACGGGGGCCCGCACAAGCGGUGGAGCAUGUGGUUUAAUUCGACGCAACGCGAAGAACCUUACCAAGACUUGACAUCCUGCUGCCGAGNGAUGUAAUGUUGCUUUUCCUUCNGGACAGCAGAGACAGGUGGUGCAUGGUUGUCGUCAGCUCGUGUCGUGAGAUGUUGGGUUAAGUCCCGCAACGAGCGCAACCCUUGUCGUCAGUUGCCAUCAUUAAGUUGGGCACUCUGACNAGACUGCCGCAGACAAUGCGGAGG
rnacentral:rRNA from 1 species